UCCUGGGUCAUACGCCUAGAAGCAGUGGGGCAUGAACAGUUUUUCUUGGUAUCUUGAUCCUUGCAUCCACCCGCCAGAGGACAUUUCCAUUUCUGUCCCAUGGAUUCAGGUUACCUUUAGAGGGUCCUGGGAGUUUGCAUUUUUUUAAUGUUUAUUUAUUUUGAGAGUGUGUGUGUGUGUGUGUGUGUGUGUGUCAGCAGGGGAGAGGCAGAGAGAGGGGGAGAGAAAGAAUCCCAAGCAGGCUCUGCACUGAGGGCACAGAACCUGACUCGGGGCUCAAACUCACAAACCGUGAGAUCAUGACCUGAGCUGAAAUCAAAUGUCAGACGCUUAGGCAGCUGAGCCGCCCAGGCAACCCUAAGAGUUUGCAUUUUUAACCAGCACUCGGCAUACCUUUUAGGAGGUCCCGGAGAUACGGGAUUACUUCAGCGCAGUGGUUCUCAAACAGGUGUGAAGAAUAAACCACCACCAUGGAGGUUACUGACGGCACCGAUUGCCAACCCCUCCAGCCCCCACAUUUCUGGUUUUAGACCCACUGGUUGGGUUUUCUCACCCCCUCACUUUCGUGGAUAAAGUAAGACUGCAGACCUCUGCGUUCCAUCCUGGUGCCUAUCUGUCCUGAUGUGCAGCUCUGGGCUGAGGCAGCCCCACAGGGCUCACCGACCCUCAGAGGCAUGGGACGGAGGAAGGCGCCCCGAAGUCCUUGCUGACGGAGCAGGGAUCACAAAGCAGCUCCAGCGAUUACUGCUACUUAAUCAGAUGGUUAUUGCAUUGCCGGGGCUGGGUCUUGCUGGCUCUUAGCAGCGUGCAGCCGCCCCAGUCAGUACAGUGAAGGAGGCUUUUUUUGCUUCCGUGAACCCAUGGGGACAGUGCCUUCCUUUCUCUCCCAGCUCCAGCACACUGAGAGGAGGAAAGCACAUUCCUGGAACUGGACAUCAUCAGAGAAUAAAACAGAUGACCCAAGUGGGAAACCUACAUACGGUCAAACCUUGGAUUGUGAGUAACUUGUUCUGCGAGGAUUCCGCAAGACGAGCAAGCAUUUCUAAUAAAUUUUAACUUGAUAAACGAGCGAUGUCUUGCAACGCGAGUGGUGCGUGAUGACGAAUGUCACAUGAUCACAACUGAGCCAACGUUGUCUCUCUUUCUCUCUCUCUCUCGCUGCAGGAGUGUGGGCGCGAUUGUCUCCUAUGCUCGGAUGCUCCAUCUCAGGCCGUGGCAUUUGGCAGAAAUCAGUGAUUUUUCAGAACGUUGGAAGGUCAGGCUGCCUGCAGAUACAGACCCUUUCCUCGGCUGCCUCAUUGCCAGUUACAUUAAAUACAGUCUGUGACAACAGUUUAUUAAUACUGUACUGUGGUCAAUAUCUAUGCGAGCGUAUACGGUGACCCCAUGCAGAAAAGUAUUCCAUGGAGCCUACAGACAGCAGUGACUCUGUUAGUGAUAGUGGAAGUCGUCCUACACAUUAACCCUCCUCUCCCAUGUCUCCCUCACACCAGUCAUGAAGGUUUUCAGAGCGGUCAAUGGCUGAACCUGGGAUCAAGGAGUACACUCCGCCUCUUGAUGGCAAAGGGUGCGGAUACGAGGAAUGACAUAGCAUUGUGGUCGUUGACGCCAUGCGUCACACUUGCCGAGAGAUGCUGCUUUCCCUCUUUUGUCGGGCGCCAGAAUCUCCCACCAGGAACAGUCUCACCCUUCGUGUUGGGAUGGGAGGAAUUUAAGUGAGAGCCCCUAGGUGUACUCAGAACGAUUGCUCUCCUCCAAGAAAUGUGGUCAAACUGGAGUCUGUCUUCUUCCCAAGACAACCUCGGGGAAUACUAAUGAGGUCGUAAUCAAGUUUCUUUGCUUCGUUAACAGAUCUCCAGCCAUUUCAGCACGGUUUGGGCCUAAAAUAUAGAAAUCUGCUCUCAUGAUGACUGUGCAGUUUCUGACUUUUUGUCAUGACAGCUUUUAGAAUUUAUUUAUUAUUUAUUUUUAUUUAUGUUUAUUUUUACUUAUUCCAGCUUUAUUUUAUUUUUAUUAUAUAUAUACAGUAUACUGUCAAGUUAGCUAACAUACAGUGUAUGUAUGCUAUGUGCUCUGGGCUUCGGGAGUAGAUUCCCGUGAUUCAUCACUUACAUAUAACACCCAGUGCUCGUCCCAACAAGUGCCCUCCUCAGUGCCCAUCACUCAUUUUCCCCGCCCCCCACCCCCUUUCACCCUCAGUUUGUUCUCUGUAUUUAAAAGUCUCUUAUGGUUUGCCUCCUUCUCUGUUUGUAACUAUUUUUUUUCUUUUCCUUCCCCCAUGAUCUUCUGUUAAGUUUCUCAACUUCCGCAUAUGAGUGAAAACGUAUGGUAUCUCUCUUUCUCUGACUGACUUAUUUCACUUAGCAUAAUAUCCUCCGGUUCCAACCACAUUGCUGCAAAUGGCAGGAUUUCAUUCUUUUUCAUUGCCGAGUAGUAUUCCAUUGUAUAUAUAAACCACAUCUUCUUAAUCCAUUUGUCAGUGGGUGGACAUUUGGGCUCUCUCCAUAAUUUGGCUAUUGUUGAAAGUGCUGCCAUAAACAUUGGGGUACAUGUGCCCCUAUGUAUCAGCACCCCUCUAUCCCUUGGGUAAAUUCCUAGCAGUGCUAUUGCUGGGUCACAGGGUAGGUCUAUUUUUAAUUUUCUGAGGAACCUCCACACUGCUUUCCAGAGCGGCUGCACCAGUUUGCCUUCCCACCGACAGCGCAAGAGGGUUCCCGUUUCUCCACAUCCUCGCCAGCAUCUGUUGUUUCCUGAGUGGUUAAUGUUAGCCACUCUGACCAGAAAUUUUUUAUUUUUUUAAGUUUAUUUACUUUGAGAAAGAGUAAGCCCAAGCAGGGGAGGGGCAUAGAGAGAUGAAGAGAGAGAAUGAGAAGCAGACUCCGUGCACUGUCAGCGUGGAGCCCUAUGUGGGGCUCAAUCCCACAAACCGUGAGAUCAUGACCUGAGCCGAAAUCAAGAGUCUGCAGCCUAACCGACUGAGCCACCCAGGCACCCCAACAGCCUUUUCUUUUGCCAUUAUUCAUCUAUUUUAUUUUGUUCUGAUAUAAUUUUCUCACCUCAAAACACAAUAAAUACACUUUAAUCCAAAAGAAUGAAAUCUUGCCAUUUGCAACUACGUGGAUGGACCUGGAGGGUAUUCUGCUAAGUGAAAUUAGUCAGUCAGAGAAAGACAAAAAUCAUAUGACUUCACUCAUAUGAGGACUCUAAGAGACACAACAGAUGAACAUAAGGGAAGGGAAACAAAAAUAAUGUAAAAACAGGGAGGGGGCAAAACAGAAGAGACUCAUAAAUAUGGAGAACAA